rnacentral:rRNA from 1 species
GAUCAUAGCUCAGGACGAACGCUGGCGGCACGCCUAACACAUGCAAGUCGAACGGAGAAAAUAGCUUCGGUUGUUUUCUUAGUGGCGGACGGGUGAGUAACACGUGAGGAACCUGCCUUUGAGAGUGGGAUAGCUUCUGGAAACGGAUGGUAAUACCGCAUAACAUAGUGAAACCGCAUGAUUUUGCUAUCAAAGUAUUUCGCUCAGAGAUGGCCUCGCGUCUGAUUAGAUAGUUGGUG